CUCUUGGUCUUCAGAACUCUACUGGGACACUGGCUGGACUCUGCAGAUUGGGACUUCACCUCUAUACUUGUGUGAGACCAUUCCUUAUAUAAUAUAUAUUUAUGUAUCUAGAGAUUUUAUUUCUUGGAGAGCCAGGACUAAUACACUGCCUGUGAAACUCUGUAGUUUGCCACCUUGUCUUAUAAGAAGGCUAAGAAAUGCUGUUCUUAAUGGUUCGUUCUAUAGAUAACUCUCUUACGGAGCAUUAGCUGUUCCAACAUGGGACCAGGGACUUGUGUCACAAACGUGCCUGAUGCCUUGUGAGACAGUUUUGCACACAUAAUCUAAUCUUGGGUCUAUUGCUGCCCAAGCCCUUAGCCAGGCUCAUUUAACAACAGUUUAUAGAUGUUGACUGCAAGUGUUCCCUGACAUCUCACACAGUGGGCAGCAGCAGCCUGGCUGUCAGCACUUGCAGGUCAGAUUCAAAUUUGCAUCUGAACUCUUCCAGGAGUAAUUCGCUUUUGUUUUGCUUGUUUUGCAAGUAUAAAGGUUGAUACUGAAUUGGAAAUCUACUGUAUGCAUUUGCAUUCUCUUGAUAUUCUUUUAAAUCCCGCUACAUUUGUCAUUGCCUCCUCUCUCUCUCUCUCUCUCUCUCUCUCUCUCUCACACACACACACACACUAUGGCUUCUCUGCCUACUUUAUAAAAGUCUUAGUCUGUAUCCUCUGGCAUUUUUAAAUGAAUAAUUAUAGAUUGUUUAUAGCCAUCACAGAAAACCCUCAGAACAGAGCCAAUGCUGUACGGCAAGGCUGAGUAUCUGAUAAUACUUCACUAACCUACAACAAGUAGAUCAAAGAGAGCUUAAGAAAGACUUUUUCUUUCAAGAUUUUUAAUUUUAUGUUAUGAGUAUGAAUAUUUUGCCUGAGUAAAUGUCUGUGCACCGUGUGCAUGUAAUGGCCAAGAAGGCCAGAAGAGGGCAUCGGAUCCCCAGGGACUGGAAUUAUAGACAGCUGUGAACCACCCUAUGGGUGCUGGAAAUCAAACCUGAGUCCUCAGGAAAAGCAACCAGUGCUCUUAAACACAAAGCUAUCUCUCCAGCUGCAAAACGAGAUGUUGUGAUCUACGUGUUCUGCCUGGGUCUUUCUUGUGUAAGAAAAAAGAAAGC
rnacentral:lncRNA from 1 species